CAUCUACUCCCUCCGUUCCAAAUUACUCGUCGCAGAAAUGGAUGUAUCUAGAACUAAAAUACAUCUAGAUACAUUUAUACCAGCGACAAGUAAUUUGGAACGAAGGGAGUAGUAA
rfam:Triticum aestivum genome assembly, contig: Triticum_aestivum_CS42_TGACv1_scaffold_624596_7DS